AGAUUAUUGUUUCGGAAACACAUGAUUUUGAAAGUCAUAGAUAAAAGUUCAACUCUUUUAUAAUCUU
rnacentral:tRNA from 1 species